rnacentral:pre_miRNA from 1 species
GUAGUAUUCCCUCCGUCCCAAAAUUCUUGUCUUACAUUUGUUUAGAUACAGAUGUAUCUAACACUAAAAUAUAACUAGAUACAUCCGUAUUUAGACAAAUUUAAGACAAGAAUUCUGGGACGGAGGGAGUACAAA